CCUACGGGGGGCAGCAGUGAGGAAUAUUGGUCAAUGGCCGGAAGGCUGAACCAGCCAAGCCGCGUGAAGGACGAAGGUGCCAAGCAUUGUAAACUUCUUUUGUCAAGGGACAAAAUCAGGCUCGAGAGCCUGACCGAGGGUACUUGAAGAAAAAGCAUCGGCUAACUCCGUGCCAGCAGCCGCAGUAAUACGUAGGGAGCAAGCGUUAUCCGGAUUUACUGGGUGUAAAGGGCGCGUAGGCGGGAUGGCAAGUCAGAUGUGAAAUCCAGGGGCUCAACCCCUGAACUGCAUUUGAAACUGUCGUU
rnacentral:rRNA from 1 species